GUUUAAAUAGUUUAACCUAAAACAUUGAUCUUGUAUAUCAAAAAUAUAAAAUUUAUUUUAAACU
rnacentral:tRNA from 1 species